UUCUCCUCAGGAGCGCCGCUCAAACAAA
rnacentral:sRNA from 1 species